rnacentral:lncRNA from 10 species
GACAGAUUCUGGGGCCCUGGGAAUAUUGGGAGGAAGGAUUCCAGACACUGGAAAUAGAGUUGCCAACAGAGGCACUCUGGGCACUAAAAAGCCCAAGUCUAGGCCUGGCAAUGUCCCCCAGGUCCCCAGAAGACAUCGUGGGGGUCACAUUGCUCCAGCUUUGGGGUCUUUUUCAAGCUCACUCAUCGACUAUUCCCAAGGCCUGCAAUCCUUCAGCCUCCUGCCACCCCUCCCCACCCACCAGUUUUGGUUUUCGCCUUGGCUGCAGGUCCCUGGGGUUCCAGGCCCCUGGAUUCCAUCCCUGUGGUUCUCACCGUGAGUCAUGGUGGCUCUGCUGUGCCGUCCUCGCUAUCUCGGGGAACCGGAGAUCCCCCUUAAUUCCCUCCAGCUGUGUCUCUACAGGGCUGAGGUCAUCCAUUCUGGCUCAAGAGGAAAGCAGAGAGUUUGUUGUGUCUUUGUUUCAUUCAAAUGGUUUGGACGGUGACUCACUCCAUUUCUUCUCUCUUUUCUUUUUAAACCAGGGCACCGUCUGGGAGUCGUUUUUGAUUAGAAGUUGACCUCAGAAAUAUGCUCACAUCAUUUUGAAAGCAUCUUCCAGCACCACAGAAAUCGACUCAGAUGGAGAAAGGACACUGAGUGGACAGGGGCCAGGAUGGGGCGUGGACGCUCUGCCUCUGCCGGGGACAAGGCCUUCCCACAGACUCCCUGGGGUGUUGCCAGCCUGAGUCAGAGGUAGGAGGCCAGCCCUGUCGAGCCCCCAUACACUUAUGUAUUGACCUGGGGCCAGUGCUGUGGAUGGCAAUGACCAUCAUCAUCACCAUCGUCAUCAUCAACACUAGCUACUAUUAUCAAGUGCUUAUUCCAACCCACAUGGUUUCUAAGGGAGUCACAUGAAGUGACCUCACAUCAUUCUCACAGCAUCCUGCCAGGCAGGUACCAUUGGCGUUUGCCAUCUGAGUAUUAUCACCAUCUGAGGUCCCACUCAGGAGCUGGGCAUGUCGAUAUUGAUGUAAUGCCUACCGUGUUCCAGACACGCUGCGAGGCCCUGGGGAUGCAGCCACAAUCCCAACAGAUCUGAUGCCUGCUCUCAUGGAACUGACUUUGCACUGGGGGGAGGCCAACUCCACGAAAACAGAAACUGGAUGACACAUUGGAGGGAGAGCAGUAAAAGGAGCAAGCAGAGAGCAAGAACAACAGUGUUGCCAUGGGGCGGGUGGGCCCGCUGUAGCCAGGGAGGGCCUCUCCGAAGGUAUAACAGGUAAGCUGAGCCCUGGAUGCUGAGAAGGACCAGCCUCAGGAGCAGGGCCCCUCUGCAGCAAUGCCUAGUACAGAGGCUUAGAGAAGACAUGGGCACGUGCACCAGGCAUCCCAUGGGCAGGGCUACCUGAGUUCCAUAUGUGUGUGGAGAGGUCCCGCAGGGCCUGGGUGCGUGACGAGGAUGAAUAAAGUGGGUGGAGGGUAAUGCCACAGUGAGGGGCAGAUGGUGGCCAGUUGACAACACGUGCCCCCAUCAAAGAGGUGGUUGCUACUCAGCUCUGACUCAUGGUCACCAAAAAGGAUGUGGGGCGAGUGUGGCCAGAUCAUCUAGUUCUUCAAAAGAAAGUAGAAAUCUAAACAUUUUUUUUUUGGUAAAGACAUCUGAAUUUCAAGUGCUUUUAUUAAAAGAAGCAAAAAGAGGCCUGGCACGGUGGCUCACGUCUGUAAUCCCAGCACUUUGGGAGGCUGAGGUAGACAGAUCACUUGAGGUUGGGAGUUCGAGACCAGCCUGGCCAACAUGGAGAAACCCCGUCUCUACUGAAAAUACAAAAAAAAUUAGCUGGGCAUGGUGGCAGGUGCCUGCAAUCCCAGCCACUCGGGAGGCUGAGGAGCGAGAAUCACUUGAACCCGGGAGGCAGAGGUUGCAGUGAGCUGAGAUCACGCUACUGCACUCCAGCCUGGGUGACAGAGCAAGAACCUGCCUUAAAAGAAGAAGAAAAAAAAAAAAAAAAACACUGGGUGGAUGAAAAAAAAACAUCCCCAAGCCAGGUCCAGCCUGCAGGUCACCAUUUUGCAGCCUUUGGGUGGAAAGCCGGAUUGGACUGCAGCAGCCUAGUACUCAAGGAGAGGGCACGGCAGGGAGAGGAGACAGCAGCGGAAAGGCCUGAGCUGGGACAGUCGAAGAGCUGUGAGCGGCUUGCUAUGGCUGAAACGUAGUUUGAGUGUGACCACAAAACAUGGCAGACUGUGACCACAUUGCAAGGAUCUCGGAGGCUUGGUAAAAGGGUUCUCUUCCCCGGAGAUGUGGCACAGUGUCCGAUCCCCGUGCCUUUCCUCAUACAGUGCCCUCCCCCCUUUCUCCGCAUGUCUACGUUCUGACUCUAGUGCCACUUUUUCCACAGUCUCCCUGGUCCCCCUCCCACCCACCAUCAAGAUGGGAUCUCUCCCUCCUGGGAGCACCUACUGCACUUUGCUUUCAUUCAUUCAUUUUUUAAAAUUAAUUAAUUAAUUGGUUUAUUUAUUUUGAGAUGGAGUCUCACUCUGUUGCUCAGGCUGGAGUGCAACGUCACGAUCUCGGCUCACUGCAAACUCCGCCUCCCGGGUUCAAGCAAUUCUCCUGCCUCAGCCUCCCAAGUACCUGGGAUUAUAGGCAUGCGUCACCACACCCAGCUCGU